GAUGAACGCUGGCGGCGUGCCUAAUACAUGCAAGUCGAGCGAACAGACGAGGAGCUUGCUCCUCUGACGUUAGCGGCGGACGGGGGAGUAACACGUGGAUAACCUACCUAUAAGACUGGGAUAACUUCGGGAAACCGGAGCUAAUACCGGAUAAUAUAUUGAACCGCAUGGUUCAAUAGUGAAAGACGGUUUUGCUUUCACUUAUAGAUGGAUCCGCGCCGCAUUAGCUAGUUGGUAAGGUAACGGCUUACCAAGGCAACGAUGCGUAGCCGACCUGAGAGGGUGAUCGGCCACACUGGAACUGAGACACGGUCCAGACUCCUACGGGAGGCAGCAGUAGGGAAUAUUCCGCAAUGGGCGAAAGCCUGACGGAGCAACGCCGCGUGAGUGAUGAAGGUCUUCGGAUCGUAAAACUCUGUUAUUAGGGAAGAAGAAAUGUGUAAGUAAAUAUGCACGUCUUGACGGUACCUAAUCAGAAAGCCACGGCUAACUCCGUG
rnacentral:rRNA from 1 species